UCGGUGCAUCUGUGUAGCCAUCCCUGGGGCUGGAGGAGGGAGGACUUUCCUGGCAGCUUUUAAGAUUCUGGGCUGGGAGGGCCGCCCAGGAAGUGUUUCUCCCCCGAGUCCCCCAGAGCUGGCUGAUGGGGAUGAGCUGGGCUGUGGACCUUUUCACUGCCCCCAGAAACCUGAGCCAGAAACUAGGUCACUGGGCUACACAUCACAGAUGAGUACACCUAGACUCCACUCCUUUUGACUGUGUCUCAUCACCCUCCCUGGUCCCAGUAUCCUUGAAAAGCCCCCUGGCCUGCCCCUGAAGACCUCCCACAUCUCUUCUGGGUCUUCCCACCCGCCUGAAGCCCAGGCCUCCAGGGAUUAAGGAUGACCCAAGCCCAUCCCUGUCUCCUUAUUCUGAAGCCUGGAAGGAGCUUUCUUGCAAAGCUUCAGCUCCUUCUCCCUAAUGUCAUCUGUGCCAAGCCCAGGAGCAGCCACAACUCUAGCACUGCCUGCAGGAGGCCCUGAGUCUACUUGUCUUGGCAAGAGGCCUGCAUCCUCAAAGAAGACUGGGGACCUGGCUUGUGCAUCUAGGAGCCCUCACAGGCCAGAGCAGGAGCAAGUGGACAAGGAGCAAAGCCCUGGGCUCCCAACCUGGCCAAUAAAAGGCCCUCUGAAUUCCAUAGCCCCAGUGUGUCCUGCCUCUUGAUUGGUGGGAGGGCUCAGAGCAAGCAGCUCCAAAUUAGGGAAAUAGCUCACACACACAGCUCGGCCACUUGUGCCUUACCUAGUUUUAUCUGACAAUAACAAACCAUUUAUAAAAAGGGGAACUUUCUAGCAGAAUGUGGGGGUGGAAGACAUGGUCUCAGGGUCCUGCCCUCCAAGGACCCCUCCCCCCCAAAGCCCCAGAGCCCCUUUGGGGGAGGGGAGCCACAGUGGCCAGGACUCCACUGUAUGCCCAGGGGCAGGUACUUAGGACCCACAAGGGGGAAGAAAGAGAA
rnacentral:lncRNA from 1 species